rnacentral:rRNA from 1 species
UAAUUUUGGGGCUUAACCCUGAGCGUGCUUUCGAUACGGGUUGACUUGAGGAAGGUAGGGGAGAAUGGAAUUCCUGGUGGAGCGGUGGAAUGCGCAGAUAUCAGGAGGAACACCAGUGGCGAAGGCGGUUCUCUGGGCCUUUCCUGACGCUGAGGAGCGAAAGCGUGGGGAGCGAACAGGCUUAGAUACCCUGGUAGUCCACGCUGUAAACGGUGGGUACUAGGUGUGGGGUCCAUUCCACGGGUUCCGCGCCGUAGCUAACGCUUUAAGUACCCCGCCUGGGGAGUACGGCCGCAAGGCUAAAACUCAAAUGAAUUGACGGAA